AUUGAACGCUGGCGGCAGGCCUAACACAUGCAAGUCGAGCGGAUGACGGGAGCUUGCUCCUUGAUUCAGCGGCGGACGGGUGAGUAAUGCCUAGGAAUCUGCCUGGUAGUGGGGGACAACGUUUCGAAAGGAACGCUAAUACCGCAUACGUCCUACGGGAGAAAGCAGGGGACCUUCGGGCCUUGCGCUAUCAGAUGAGCCUAGGUCGGAUUAGCUAGUAGGUGAGGUAAUGGCUCACCUAGGCGACGAUCCGUAACUGGUCUGAGAGGAUGAUCAGUCACACUGGAACUGAGACACGGUCCAGACUCCUACGGGAGGCAGCAGUGGGGAAUAUUGGACAAUGGGCGAAAGCUUGAUCCAGCCAUGCCGCGUGUGUGAAGAAGGUCUUCGGAUUGUAAAGCACUUUAAGUUGGGAAGAAGGGCAGUAAGUUAAUACCUUGCUGUUUUGACGUUACCGACAGAAUAAGCACCGGCUAACUCUGUGCCAGCCGCCGCCGUAACAC
rnacentral:rRNA from 1 species